UACGAAGGGGGCUAGCGUUGCUCGGAAUCACUGGGCGUAAAGGGUGCGUAGGCGGGUCUUUAAGUCAGGGGUGAAAUCCUGGAGCUCAACUCCAGAACUGCCUUUGAUACUGAGGAUCUUGAGUUCGGGAGAGGUGAGUGGAACUGCGAGUGUAGAGGUGAAAUUCGUAGAUAUUCGCAAGAACACCAGUGGCGAAGGCGGCUCACUGGCCCGAUACUGACGCUGAGGCACGAAAGCGUGGGGAGCAAACAGGAAUU
rnacentral:rRNA from 1 species